rnacentral:rRNA from 1 species
UACGUAGGGUGCGAGCGUUAAUCGGAAUUACUGGGCGUAAAGCGUGCGCAGGCGGUUUUGUAAGCCAGAUGUGAAAGCCCCGGGCUCAACCUGGGAAUGGCAUUUGGGACUGCAAGGCUUGAGUGCGGCAGAGGAGACUGGAAUUCCUGGUGUAGCAGUGAAAUGCGUAGAUAUCGAGAGGAACACCUGCGGCGAAGGCGGGUUGCUGGGCUGACACUGACGCUGAAGUGCGAAAGCUAGGGGAGCGAACGGG